rnacentral:rRNA from 1 species
CCUACGGGAGGCAGCAGUGGGGAAUAUUGCACAAUGGGGGAAACCCUGAUGCAGCGACGCCGCGUGAGUGCAGAAGUACCUCGGUAUGUACAGCCCUAUCAGCAGGGAAGAAAAUGACGGUACCUGACUAAGAAGCCCCGUCUAACUACGUGCCAGCCGCCGCGGUAAUACGUAGGGGGCAAGCGUUAUCCGGAUUUACUGGGUGUAAAGGGUGCGUAGACGGCGCGGCAAGCCAGAAGUGAAAGGCAGGGGCUUAACCCCUGGACUGCUUUGGAAACUGCCAUGCUCGAGUGCUGGAGAGGUAGGUGGAAUUCCUGGUGUAGCGGUGAAAUGCGUAGAUAUUAGGAGGAACACCGGUGGCGAAGGCGGCUUGCUGGACAGUAACUGACGUUGAGGCUCGAAAGCGUGGGGAGCAAACAGGAUUAGAUACCCUGGUAGUC